GCUGGGGUAGCUCAGUCAGUGAAGCAUGAGACUCUUAAUCUCAGGGCUGUGGGUUCGAGUCCCACAUUGGGCA
rnacentral:tRNA from 1 species